rnacentral:rRNA from 1 species
AGAGUUUGAUCCUGGCUCAGAUUAAACGCUGGCGGCAUGCCUUACACAUGCAAGUCGAACGGCAGCACGGGGGCAACCUUGGUGGCGAGUGGCGAACGGGUGAGUAAAGCAUCGGAACGUGCCCUGGAGUGGGGGAUAACGUAGCGAAAGUUACGCUAAUACCGCAUAUUCUGUGAGCAGGAAAGCAGGGGAUCGCAAGACCUUGCGCUCUGGGAGCGGCCGAUGUCGGAUUAGCUAGUUGGUGGGUAAAGGCCUACCAAGGCGACGAUCCGUAGCGGGUCUGAGAGGAUGAUCCGCCACACUGGGACUGAGACACGGCCCAGACUCCUACGGGAGGCAGCAGUGGGGAAUUUUGGACAAUGGGCGCAAGCCUGAUCCAGCCAUGCCGCGUGAGUGAAGAAGGCCUUCGGGUUGUAAAGCUCUUUCGGCCGGGAAGAAAUCGCAUGGGUUAAUACCCUGUGUGGAUGACGGUACCGGAAUAAGAAGCACCGGCUAACUACGUG